ACCGUACCCCAAACCGACACAGGUGGUCGGGUAGAGAAUACCAAGGCGCUUGAGAGAACUCGGGUGAAGGAACUAGGCAAAAUGGCACCGUAACUUCGGGAGAAGGUGCGCCGGCUAGGGUGAAGGAUUUACUCCGUAAGCUCUGGCUGGUCGAAGAUACCAGGCCGCUGCGACUGUUUAUUAAAAACACAGCACUCUGCAAACACGAAAGUGGACGUAUAGGGUGUGACGCCUGCCCGGUGCCGGAAGGUUAAUUGAUGGGGUUAGCGCAAGCGAAGCUCUUGAUCGAAGCCCCGGUAAACGGCGGCCGUAACUAUAACGGUCCUAAGGUAGCGAAAUUCCUUGUCGGGUAAGUUCCGACCUGCACGAAUGGCGUAACGAUGGCGGCGCUGUCUCCACCCGAGACUCAGUGAAAUUGAAAUCGCUGUGAAGAUGCAGUGUAUCCGCGGCUAGACGGAAAGACCCCGUGAACCUUUACUGUAGCUUUGCACUGGACUUUGAGCCUGCUUGUGUAGGAUAGGUGGGAGGCUUUGAAGCGUGGACGCCAGUUCGCGUGGAGCCAUCCUUGAAAUACCACCCUGGCAUGCUUGAGGUUCUAACUCUGGUCCGUAAUCCGGAUCGAGGACAGUGUAUGGUGGGCAGUUUGACUGGGGCGGUCUCCUCCUAAAGAGUAACGGAGGAGUACGAAGGUGCGCUCAGACCGGUCGGAAAUCGGUCGCAGAGUAUAAAGGCAAAAGCGCGCUUGACUGCGAGACAGACACGUCGAGCAGGUACGAAAGUAGGUCUUAGUGAUCCGGUGGUUCUGUAUGGAAGGGCCAUCGCUCAACGGAUAAAAGGUACUCCGGGGAUAACAGGCUGAUACCGCCCAAGAGUUCAUAUCGACGGCGGUGUUUGGCACCUCGAUGUCGGCUCAUCACAUCCUGGGGCUGAAGCCGGUCCCAAGGGUAUGGCUGUUCGCCAUUUAAAGUGGUACGCGAGCUGGGUUUAGAACGUCGUGAGACAGUUCGGUCCCUAUCUGCCGUGGACGUUUGAGAUUUGAGAGGGGCUGCUCCUAGUACGAGAGGACCGGAGUGGACGAACCUCUGGUGUUCCGGUUGUCACGCCAGUGGCAUUGCCGGGUAGCUAUGUUCGGAAAAGAUAACCGCUGAAAGCAUCUAAGCGGGAAACUUGCCUCAAGAUGAGAUCUCACUGGGAACUUGAUUCCCCUGAAGGGCCGUCGAAGACUACGACGUUGAUAGGCUGGGUGUGUAAGCGUUGUGAGGCGUUGAGCUAACCAGUACUAAUUGCCCGUGAGGCUUGACCA
rnacentral:rRNA from 1 species